CCAGUCUUUUUUGACUGUAUAUUAAUCUUUUUUUUUUUUAGAAAGGAUCUUGCUAUGUAGUUCAGUCUGGCCUUGAACUCAUGGCAAUCCUCCUGCCUCAGGCUCCCGAGUGCUGAGAUCACAGGUAUAUGGCACCACUCCUGGCAACUAUAUAUUAAUUUUUAUCUUUUUAUAUUAAUUUUUUAUAUUUUUCCCUCUGAAGAGCUAUCUCUAAUUUAGUUAGGGGAGAAUGGGUAUAGUUUUAAUCUAGCUGUUUUGAGCUGAGGAGGGUCAGUGUAGAGGAGACCUGAGUCAGGGGCCUUCUCCAGAGAGUGAAUCUAAUGGGCCUCAGAAGUCUUGUUGGGGGUUAGCAGUUAUGAACUCCUUUUAUAAUGUCAAUCUAGUGGAUCCCGGUAAAAGGAGUCCGGCACAUUUGUCAUUGGUUUUACCUGCAUGAUCACCUGGAGUUUGGCAGCCUUUAAGAAAGAAUAAACACAUUUUUAAAAAGAGAUUAAAGCACAUAACAAUCAGCAUGAGCAUUAGAAUAGAAAGGCAGAUGGAGGAAAAGAGCCAUAACCAAACUCCUUUUAAGGGACUAGAAUAGCAAUUGUAACCAACUGGCUCUUAGACUCCUUUAUUUUUAUUUUUCUCUUAGACCCCUUUAUUGAUGGAGGUUAUCUAUAAGUUUGAUAUAUUUUGUCACAAGUCUCUCUAGUUUUGGCUGUGAGAAGAUGGAGAGUUUGGUGGUUUUGAAGGACAAUUUUAGGUGCCCGGGACCGGAAUUGCCAGGAGUGAGGGCGGACGUCCCACCCCGCACACCCUGCUGUGGUUUCUUUGGUGACGGUAAACAAACCUUGAGUGCCAGCGCUUCAAAUCACCCAGAGACUCCGAGGGCCACCAGAGACCUCUGGGUGAGGCAGGCUCGGAGACUCGAAGACUCGGAAUCCCAGAAUGGCUUCCUCAGAAUGGCCCAUUACCGGUGAUUCGAGCAUGCUGAGAGGCUGAAGCAGGUGGAUCACAAGUUCAAGUUCACAAGAAAACAGAACUCAAGAAAAGAAAAAUGGAAGAAGGAAGAGGCUUCAAAGGAAAAUGGAUGAGUGCUUUUUGUUGAGAGAAAUAAGGCACCCUGCUUAAUUUUGUAAAAUCACUUUGUCUCACCAGACUAUAGCCAGACAAUUGAGGAAAUGGGGGGAAAGCUACUGAAAAAGAUUUAAGAGCGAAGCUGCUAAUUUCAAACUUUAUUCUUUGGC
ensembl:lncRNA